rnacentral:rRNA from 1 species
GACGAACGCUGGCGGCGCGCCUAACACAUGCAAGUCGAACGGGGGUAAUCCUUCGGGGUUACUUAGUGGCGAACGGGUGAGUAACGCGUGAGAAACCUGCCUUUCAGUGGGGGACAACAGUUGGAAACGACUGCUAAUACCGCAUAAUGUUACUUGAGGGCAUCCUCGAAUAACCAAAGCUUUAUGUGCUGAAAGAUGGUCUCGCGUCUGAUUAGCUAGUUGGUGAGGUAACGGCUCACCAAGGCGACGAUCAGUAGCCGGUCUGAGAGGAUGAACGGCCACAUUGGGACUGAGAUACGGCCCAGACUCCUACGGGAGGCAGCAGUGGGGAAUAUUGGGCAAUGGGGGAAACCCUGACCCAGCAACGCCGCGUGAAGGAAGAAGGCCUUCGGGUUGUAAACUUCUUUUACCAGGGACGAAGAACGUGACGGUACCUGGAGAAAAAGCAACGGCUAACUACGUGCCAGCCGCCGCGGUAAGAC